rnacentral:rRNA from 1 species
CCUACGGGAGGCAGCAGUAAGGAAUAUUGGUCAAUGGAGGGUAACUCUGAACCAGCCAUGCCGCGUGCAGGAAGAAGGCCCUAUGGGUCGUAAACUGCUUUUGUACCAGAGAAAACCCGAGUACGUGUACUCGGUUGAUAGUAUGGUAAGAAUAAGCAUCGGCUAACUUCGUGCCAGCAGCCGCGGUGAGACGAAGGAUGCAAGCGUUAUCCGGAUUCAUUGGGUUUAAAGGGUGCGUAGGCGGACUGAUAAGUCAGUGGUGAAAUCUCUCGGCUUAACCGAGAAACUGCCAUUGAUACUGUUAGUCUAGAGUAUAGAUGACGUUGGCGGAAUAUGACAUGUAGUGGUGAAAUACUUAGAUAUGUCAUAGAACACCGAUUGCGAAGGCAGCUAACGAAACUAUAACUGACGCUGAGGCACGAAAGUGCGGGGAUCAAACAGGAUUAGAUACCCUGGUAGUCCGCACCGUAAACGAUGAUUACUCGUUGUUGGCAAUAUGACCGUCAGCGACCAAGCGAAAGCGAUAAGUAAUCCACCUGGGGAGUACGCCGGCAACGGUGAAACUCAAAGGAAUUGACGGCGNGAGAGAGCGAGACGACGACGAGGGAGGAGG